UACGUAGGGAGCAAGCGUUGUCCGGAAUCAUUGGGCGUAAAGCGCGCGUAGGCGGCCCUGUAAGUCCGUUGUGAAAGUCAAAGGCUCAACCUUUGAAAGCCGAUGGAUACUGCAGGGCUGGAGUCCGGAAGAGGCGAGUGGAAUUCCUGGUGUAGCGGUGGAAUGCGCAGAUAUCAGGAGGAACACCAAUAGCGAAGGCAGCUCGCUGGGACGGUACUGACGCUGAGACGCGAAAGCGUGGGGAGCGAACAGG
rnacentral:rRNA from 1 species